UGGAGAGGACUAAACGGCCACCGGAAACUCUCGAUAGUUACUGAGGAAGGUCCUUUCUUCCGGGCAAAAUAACACAGCGAAAGCUGUCAGGUGGAAACCUGGCUCUGAGAAUAGAAACGUAAAACAACUGUAUACUAUGAUGUAUGGAAGCAAUUCUUUACUGAGAUUUACAGGUUAAGUGUUGAAACGACUCAUCGUUAUGGAAGUAAGCUCUAAUAGGCUUCAAUGAUCUGCCAAGAGAAGCGGGUUGAGCGCAUAGAUUGAUGCCGUGAGAGGAGUACAUCUUAUGGUGUUCCUCGAAACAGAAAGAGGACUAUUUUCCUCUCCA
rnacentral:RNase_P_RNA from 1 species